UGCCCAGCAACUCUUAUCCCUACCUCCUCGCGGUACUGGCCGGGGUACGAAAAACCUUAGGGAAGAUCGGGUGGCCAACCCCGAUGGGAACUCUGGUCGUAUGCUUACAAGGAAGG
rnacentral:ribozyme from 1 species